rnacentral:tRNA from 1 species
GCGGGCGUGGCGGAAUGGUAGACGCAACGGACUUAAAAUCCGUUGGGGGUAACUCCGUGAGGGUUCGAGUCCCUCCGCCCGCACCA